rnacentral:lncRNA from 1 species
CAUUGGGAUGGCCAGGUGGUGAAGAUCUGGUGGGAUGACAGUUGGGCAGUUGGAAUGAGGCAGCCGUGAGGAAUCUGAGAGACCGUUGGAAGGCAGCCCUGACCUGGGUGGUGUGAUGUGGGUGACAGAGGCAAAGUGGGGGGGCAGGAGCAAUAUUUCAGAAGCAGGAAGAAAGGAUAAGUAACAGAUCCCUGAGCAGAAAGAGGGAAAUUUGGAGGGGAUCUGAUCUGAGAGAGAGUUGAAUCAGCCUUCGGGGUAUGUGAGGCAGAGAGAGGCCUUCAGGGGACCAAAUUCUGCUUUUCGGCAGCUCACAACCGGUACAGGAGACAGGCAAGCUGGCCGGAAGCUAGUCUGCAAUGCUGAAUGAAAGAAAGUCACUGAUCUGCUGCAAGAUCACAUUGUUCAAUGGCAGAGGAAGAGGUCUGAAGACUCGCAGCUCAAGUGCAGGGGAGGAAAUUGACAGGAGGCUGAGGCUUAGCCGAGCACAGAUAAAGGAAAGGCUGUGGCAAGCACCCUGCAUUUCAAAGGUGUGAGCUGAGGUAUACGGGAGAGAUGGCGGGACAGCCCGGACAGGCAUCUUGCCCACACAGUUUGAGCUGUCCUUUUGUGAGACUGUAAGGAGCUGCUGGGGAGAGACGUCAGCCCGAGAGGACUUGAGUCCACUUCUGAUCACAGCCCUAGUGAUGAUAAAGGCAGAGGAGCGCCUGGAGGGUCCCACAGGCCAGCAGCUGAGUUCAGCGAGAGACGGCCUGUUUAUGGGAGCAUCUGACACAUUCAUGGCAGCCCUGAGGGAAGAGGGGGAGUCUGCCCAUGGCUCUGCAGGAGGAGAUGGGCUGGGGGAAGCAGGGUGACCGUAGGUGCUUGGCUUAGCUUCACACUGGCAGGUGCUGCCCAGGGACGCUCGGUCCACAUUUGUGCACGUGGACCAUCUGUAACGCAACGCUCGCACCCACUGUGUCCAGGGCCCCUGAUCGGCCAGAACAUGUGUCCCCCAAGGUCAUCCUUCAGUGCUCACAGCCUCAUGGAAACGGGCCCUUGGAUGCCCAUUUUGUAAAAGAGGAAAGAGCAGGUUGGAGAGGUUAAGUGAUGUUUUCCUAAGAUCACACAGCUUGGGUGUGGUUAAAUCCAGUCUCCGUUCAUCCUCAUCUCCCUUCCUCUCCAGCUGACAUGUUGCAGUUGUUACAAGCAGCCUUGGGCAUACACCACAGCUUCCCUCCUUGGGCUCCCCUAGCAAGAGGCAACCCUGGUCAAGAUCAGCUCUUAGCCUGCUCCCCUCUCCAGGAGUAUAGCUGGAGGUG